UACGUAGGCAGCGAGCGUUGUUCGGAAUUACUGGGCGUAAAGAGUGUGUAGGCGGUGUUCCCAGUCUGUUGUGAAGUCUCCCGGCUUAACUGGGAGGGUGCAGCGGAAACUAGAAUGCUAGAGGGUGGGAGAGGUAAGCGGAAUUCCUGGUGUAGCGGUGAAAUGCGUAGAUAUCAGGAGGAACACCUGUGGUGUAGACAGCUUACUGGACCACUUCUGACGCUGAGACACGAAAGCGUGGGUAGCAAACAGG
rnacentral:rRNA from 1 species